rnacentral:rRNA from 1 species
AACGAACGCUGGCGGCAUGCCUAAUACAUGCAAGUCGAACGAUCACUUCGGUGGUAGUGGCGCACGGGUGCGUAACGCGUGGGAAUCUACCCUUGGGUUCGGAAUAACAGUUAGAAAUGACUGCUAAUACCGGAUGAUGACGAAAGUCCAAAGAUUUAUCGCCCAAGGAUGAGCCCGCGUAGGAUUAGCUAGUUGUUGAGGUAAAAGCUCACCAAGGCGACGAUGCUUAGCUGGUCUGAGAGGAUGAUCAGCCACACUGGGACUGAGACACGGCCCAGACUCCUACGGGAGGCAGCAGUAGGGAAUAUUGGACAAUGGGGGCAACCCGGAUCCAGCAAUGCCGCGUGAGUGAUGAAGGCCUUAGGGUUGUAAAGCUCUUUUACCCGAGAUGAUGAUGACAGUAUCGGGAGAAUAAGCUCCGGCUAACUCCGUGCCAGCAGCCGCCGCAG